UGCUUACACAUGCAAGUCGAACGGUCUUUUCGGAGAUAGUGGCGGACGGGUGAGUAACGCGUAAGAAUCUACCUUCAGGUUGGGGACAACCACUGGAAACGGUGGCUAAUACCGAAUGUGCCGAGAGGUGAAAGGCUUGCUGCCUGAAGAAGAGCUUGCGUCUGAUUAGCUAGUUGGUGGGGUAAGAGCCUACCAAGGCGACGAUCAGUAGCUGGUCUGAGAGGAUGAUCAGCCACACUGGGACUGAGACACGGCCCAGACUCCUACGGGAGGCAGCAGUGGGGAAUUUUCCGCAAUGGGCGAAAGCCUGACGGAGCAAUACCGCGUGAGGGAGGAAGGCUCUUGGGUUGUAAACCUCUUUUCUCAGGGAAGAAGAAAGUGACGGUACCUGAGGAAUAAGCAUCGGCUAACUCCGUGCCAGCAGCCGCGGUAAUACGGAGGAUGCAAGCGUUAUCCGGAAUGAUUGGGCGUAAAGGGUCCGCAGGUGGCAUUGUAAGUCUGCUGUUAAAGAGUCACGCUCAACGUGAUAAAAGCAGUGGAAACUACAAAGCUAGAGUAUGGUCGGGGCAGAGGGAAUUCCUGGUGUAGCGGUGAAAUGCGUAGAUAUCAGGAAGAACAUCGGUGGCGAAGGCGCUCUGCUAGGCCAAAACUGACACUGAGGGACGAAAGCUAGGGGAGCGAAUGGGAUUAGAUACCCCAGUAGUCCUGGCCGUAAACGAUGGGAUACUAGGCGUAGCUCGUAUCGACCCGAGCUGUGCCGUAGCUAACGCGUUAAGUAUCCCGCCUGGGGAGUAC
rnacentral:rRNA from 1 species